rnacentral:rRNA from 1 species
UGGGGAAUCUUGGACAAUGGGCGCAAGCCUGAUCCAGCCAUGCCGCGUGAGUGAUGAAGGCCCUAGGGUUGUAAAACUCUUUCGCCAGGGAAGAUAAUGACUGUACCUGGUAAAGAAGCCCCGGCUAACUCCGUGCCAGCAGCCGCGGUAAUACGGAGGGGGCUAGCGUUGUUCGGAAUUACUGGGCGUAAAGGGCGCGUAGGCGGGGUAUCCAGUUAGGGGUGAAAGCCCGGGGCUCAACCUCGGAACUGCCUUUAAAACUGAUACUCUAGAGUCCGGAAGAGGGUCGCGGAAUUCCCAGUGUAGAGGUGAAAUUCGUAGAUAUUGGGAAGAACACCGGUGGCGAAGGCGGCGACCUGGUCCGGUACUGACGCUGAGGCGCGAAAGCGUGGGGAGCAAACAGGAUUAGAUACCCCCGUAGUCC